CGCGUGGGAAUCUGCCCUCAGGAGGGGGAUAACGGCCGGAAACGGCCGCUAAUACCCCAUAUGCCGAGAGGUGAAAUGAAUUUCGCCUGAGGAUGAGCCCGCGUCUGAUUAGCUAGUUGGUGAGGUAAGAGCUCACCAAGGCAUCGAUCAGUAGCUGGUCUGAGAGGAUGAUCAGCCACACUGGGACUGAGACACGGCCCAGACUCCUACGGGAGGCAGCAGUGGGGAAUAUUCCACAAUGGGCGCAAGCCUGAUCCAGCAAUACCGCGUGUAUGAAGAAGGCCCGAGGGUUGUAAAGUA
rnacentral:rRNA from 1 species